rnacentral:rRNA from 1 species
GUGGGGAAUAUUGCGCAAUGGCCGAAAGGCUGACGCAGCGACGCCGCGUGGGGGAUGAAGCAUUUCGGUGUGUAAACCCCUGUUGCCCGGGACGAACAAGCGAUUUCGAUCGCUCUGACGGUACCGGGUGAGGAAGCACCGGCUAACUCCGUGCCAGCAGCCGCGGUAAUACGGAGGGUGCGAGCGUUGUCCGGAAUCACUGGGCGUAAAGGGCGCGUAGGCGGUGACUUAAGCGUGUGGUGAAGGCCCGGGGCUCAACCCCGGGUCUGCCGUGCGAACUGGGUCACUCGAGCACUGUAGAGGCAGGUGGAAUUCCGGGUGUAGCGGUGGAAUGCGUAGAGAUCCGGAAGAACACCGGUGGCGAAGGCGGCCUGCUGGGCAGUAGCUGACGCUGAGGCGCGACAGCGUGGGGAGCAAACAGGAUUAGAAACCCGGGUAGUCC